rnacentral:rRNA from 1 species
UGGUGGAGUGAUUUGUCUGGUUAAUUCCGUUAACGAACGAGACCUCAGCCUGCUAAAUAGUGUGCUCUUUCUCACGAAAGGGUUCGACUUCUUAGAGGGACAUUUCGGUUUUACCGGAAGGAAGUUUGAGGCAAUAACA